UUUGACAUAUUUAGGGCAGAUUGUUAAACGAAUUGGCAACUAGCUAUAUAGGUUAAAUACAAAUAAAGAUGCUAAUGUUAAUUUGCAAUCUAAUCAAAUGUCUGACUGAUGUGCGAUUAUCUAUUGAUAUUUUUUUUAAAUCUACAUGAGGGAUUGGGCUCUGUUUCACCAUUUGUUUGUAUCUUUUUUCAAUGUGUGCACUUUUAAUCUUUGUACAGCGCCUCGUGAAUGUGUUAACAUUUAGCCUAGUCCCAUUCAUUCCUAUGGCUCCAAACAGGGAUGAAUUUAGAAGCCACCAAACACUUCCAUGUUUUCCCUAUUUAAAGACUGUUAAAUGAGUAGUUACACAAGUAAGUUUGGCACAAAAUAAAACUUUUGUUUGGAGCCAUUGGAAUGAUUGGGGCUAGGCUAAAUGCUACAUUCACGAGGCACUGUAAAAGAUGAAGUGCACGCAUUGAAAAAAGAUAGGGCUGUAUUAAUUCGUCUAAGUUGAGGUAAGAACAUAGUAAAAUAUUGAAAACGGCUAGUCCAAGGCUGAUACUGCUGGUUGCUGGUGAUGAAGUCACAUUUGGAGGUUGGAUGAUCAGCAGUGAAAACAUCAUCAUCUGUGAAGGCAAGAUGAAGCUGCGAGGACACUGGAGUUUGUUCAAAGAUGCUUAAUUGGUGUGAACCCUAAGAGGUGAACAAAAGCCAGGCAGGUGAAGGUGUCCGAGAAGACAGGAAAGCUUGUCCAGAAAAACGCAGCAACUGUUAAUCCCCAUGUGACCACCCUCAUCAAAAACUUCAUGGACUUUGAGUGGCUUUCACAUUGUAUUCUGCAGUGUUGUGAUAUUUAUGUGACAUCACAGCAUUAUGUUUUAUUCAGCCCAGUCUCAUUAGUGAGGCAGAAACUGACAUUUAAGAAUGCACUGAAUUUUGUUAUAUUUAAUAAAAACAGUG